CUUAAACAUGGAAUACCAAGAGUCAGCUGCAUGCACUUUGGAGCUUGUUCAGAGAUUUCUGGUGAGAAUUAAUCCGGAAGAUGGAAAGAAAUGCACAGCCCGACAGGGAGUGAGCAAGAAGACCGGACGAAUUGUCCAGAAAAAAGCACCACCCAUCAACUCCCACGUUAAUAACUUAAUUCGCUCCUUGCUGGACUUUAAAUGGCAGACCUCUAACUAAGCAGUUACAUCUAACAGGUUUUGUGUGUGUGUGUGUGUGUGUGUGUGUGUGUACGUGGAGGAGAACCUGUUUCAAACUUUUGUUUGUUUAAAUACUUGAAGUAAUACUAGUUCUGUUUGAAACUUGACAGUCUGCUCUGUACUUUUUAAAAUGUAAAAUUAUUGAAGCAACAACUGUUCAAAAUGUUGCCUUUGCAUGAGUAAGAAGAGUGACUCUUGUCAUUAAUGGUUUUAAUGCAAUAUGUGUGUGUGUGUGUGUGUGUGUGUGGCUAUAGGUAGAGGAGGACCUGUGUCUCAAACUAAUGUAAUUAGUUGUUUAAAUACUUGAUUAAAUACUAGCUCUGCUUUAAACUAAAAUAAUUGAAGCAACCCCUUAAUGUUGAAAUCGUUGCCUUUGCAGAGUCUCGGUCGGUCUCUCUCUGUGUAGCAAAAGUUAAUGAUAUUGUAAUGUGUUUCAGUGUUUUUAAUGUGUUUCAGUGU